rnacentral:rRNA from 1 species
GACGAACGCUGGCGGCGUGCCUAAUACAUGCAAGUAGAACGCUGAAGGAGGAGCUUGCUUCUCUGGAUGAGUUGCGAACGGGUGAGUAACGCGUAGGUAACCUGCCUGGUAGCGGGGGAUAACUAUUGGAAACGAUAGCUAAUACCGCAUAAGAGUAGAUGUCGCAUGACAUUUGCUUAAAAGGUGCAAUUGCAUCACUACCAGAUGGACCUGCGUUGUAUUAGCUAGUUGGUGAGGUAACGGCUCACCAAGGCAACGAUACAUAGCCGACCGGAGAGGGUGGUCGGCCACUCUGGGACUGAGACAGGGCCCAGAGGCCUGCGGGAGGCAGCAGUAGGGAAUCUUCGGCAAUGGACGGAAGUCUGACCGAGCAACGCCGCGUGGGUGGAGAAGGUUCUCGGUUCGUGAAGCUCUGUUGUGAGUGAAGAACGAGUGUGAGAGUGGAAAGUUCACACUGUGACGGUAUCUUACCAGAAAGGGACGGCUAACUACGUG